GACGUAGGGGACGAGCGUUGUCCGGAUUCAUUGGGCGUAAAGCGCGCGUAGGCGGCCCGGUAAGUCCGCUGUGAAAGUCCAGGGCUCAACCCUGGAAAGCCGGUGGAUACUGCCGGGCUAGAGUCCGGAAGAGGCGAGUGGAAUUCCUGGUGUAGCGGUGGAAUGCGUAGAGAUUGGGAAGAACACCAGCGGCGAAAGCGCGUGACUGGGCCUGAACUGACACUCAUGGACGAAAGCUAGGGGAGCGAAAGGG
rnacentral:rRNA from 1 species